UCGAAUUUAUAAUAUUGGAAAGUUAAAACUCAGUUCUAGGCUUGGAAUCGGAGAAUAUGAAACUUGACAUAUUAAUCGGAUCAAAACUUAUGAACUUGACUAUAGUUUUGGGUGAAUUUUUAAUUUAGGCUAGAUAUAUAGCAAUAUGGUUGUUGUAGUUUUGAAAGCUUACUCUGACUAUGUACUUGAAUAGAUUCCAUUGAUUUGGAAGCUCAACGGAAAGGGAAGGCUCAAGUCCAAGAGUAAUUAUUCGAUUGGCUAAGGCAAGUUGAUUUCUAAACUCUUGUUAAGCGUAUGAAAUUCGUGUAUUUCCUUGUGUGAUGUUGAGAACGAUUUGGAGACUUGUUGCUUAUUUGUUAGUGUUGUAUUCCUUGCUGUAAAUUGUGUUUUUGUUAUCAAAAUGGUUAUCUCCUCAUUUUCAUUUGAGCAUGUCAAUUGUAUUGUAUAUGAGACAUGAUUGUGGUAUAAGAAUGUAUCAUUUCGAGGGUCGUAUCGCGCGCCGCGAUGGAUAUUAUAUUCGAGGGACGUAUUGCGCGCCGCGAAGGUUACUAUUAUCGAGGGUCGUGUCAUACGCCGCGACAGGUGCAUGGACAGAUAUGUCCCCCAUGGGUUCCGGACUGAGAGACAGCGGGUGUGUAUCGUUAGGGAAUACAUGCAUCACUAUACUUGACAUUGCAUCUCAUGGCAUUGCACAUCUUAUUAUUGAUGAACUUGAAAACGUGUUUUGCUGACCUUGUGAGUGUUUCUCUGUGAAGCCUGUGACUGUUGAAUGUUGAGUUGUUAUUGAGAAUGUGUAAACUGAUAGAGUGUGGUUAUUGAGUUGUGUUUGGUAAAUUGUAAACUGUUAGGCUGUAGCGUAGAGGUUUAGAUAGGGUGUAAGGAGUGCCCGUAUUUUGUUCACUUAACUUGUGUUUAGAGGUUUGUUUGUUGGGUACCGCGUGG
rnacentral:lncRNA from 1 species